GGCUGGAUAUAAUGAAAAAAGACUCUGGACCAGAUCAUUUGUAACGUGUUCAAUUAAAUCACGAAGACAAAUUUCUUAUCGCGAAGAAGUUUUAUCUCACAUUUUGACACGUACUCUAAUAUACCCUGCCAUUGGAAUUAGGAUAUAACAUUUACAUAAUGGGUAGAACUUCAAGAAAACGACAUCAAAAGAAGAAGCUAAAUAAAGAAAUAGCAGAAAAUACAGAAGACAGUUUGAUGCAUCUUAGAUCUUGGUUAUUAACAAAGAACUGUUCAUCAGUUUAUGAUCUUAUUCCAUUUAACUUUCUUAUUACAGGACGAGGAUUAAAAACAUUAAAAGACAUUAAAAUUAAUGAUAUAUUGAUCAAACUACCUUAUGAAAUCUUAAUAACAACAUGUACAUUAUCUCAAAGCAAUUGUUGCAGUGGAAAUGUAAUUGAUCGUACACAGAAAAAGAAAUCUAUUAUAAGUUCUGUUAAAUUUCCAUUGGUAAUACCUGGAUUUACUGGGGGAAAAUCAGGACAACAAAAAAGAGAUUGUUUUCAUCCUGGUGUAUCUAGUUUAAGCCAUGAAUCUAUUAAUAUUCAAGAAAGGGAGACAGUUAAAUCUGCAAAUAUGAUUAGAGCAAUGCUUAGAUAUAUUUGGCCAAAAGAUGAUCCAGAUAUUCGAAGAAGAGUUAAAAUAGCCAUGGGUUUACUUGUUGGUGCAAAAGCUCUAAAUGUUGGCGUUCCUUUCAUUUUUAAAUGUGCAAUAGAUACUCUUAAUACCCAACACAUGGCAACUACUGGUAAUGCCAUUUUAAGUCUAGAAACUGGAUCAGAUACGGUUGCAACAGUAGCAACAUCAUUACUUAUUGGAUAUGGAGUAGCACGUGCUGGUGCAGCUGGAUUUAGUGAAUUGAGAAAUGCAGUAUUUGCAAAAGUUGCUCAUCAUUCUAUUCGAAAAAUAGCUAAAAAUGUAUUUUUGCAUUUACAUAAUUUAGACAUGGCUUUUCAUUUAGGUAGACAAACUGGAGCAUUAUCUAAAACAAUAGAUAGAGGGAGUCGUGGUAUAAAUUUUGUAUUAAAUGCUAUGGUAUUUAAUAUUAUUCCUACUGUUUUUGAAUUAUCAUUAGUUAGUACAGUCUUAUAUUUAAAAUGUGGAGCAGAAUAUGCAAGUAUUGCUCUUAGUUGUGUUGGAAUUUAUGCAUUAUUCACAUUGGCUAUUACUCAAUGGCGAACGAAAUUUAGAAUUUUUAUGAAUCAAGCAGAAAAUGAAGCAAGUAAUAAAGCAAUAGAUUCACUUAUCAAUUAUGAAACAGUAAAGUAUUUUAAUAACGAAAAAUUUGAAGCUGAAAGAUAUGACGAAUCGUUAAAGAAAUAUGAAAUUGCAUCACUUAAAACAAGUACAAGUCUAGCAAUGCUAAAUUUUGGACAAAACGCUAUAUUUAGCGCUGCACUUAGUUUAAUAAUGGUACUAGCAUCCAAUAAUAUUAUAGAGGGUACCAUGACAGUAGGAGACUUAGUAAUGGUUAAUGGUCUUUUAUUCCAACUAUCAGUUCCCUUAGGAUUUUUGGGUUCAGUAUAUCGUGAAGUUAGACAAGCUCUCAUCGAUAUGCAAACUAUGUUUACUUUGAUGGCAAUGAAUACUGCUAUUAAGUCGAAAGAGAAUGCAACACACUUUCAUAUAACUUCAAAGAAUUCCGAUAUUGAAUUUAAGAACAUUAGCUUUCACUAUGUUGAAGGCAAGCCUAUUUUUAAAGAUAUUAAUUUUACUAUUCCAAGUGGUAAAAAGAUAGCUAUUAUUGGAGGUUCUGGUUGUGGUAAAACAACAUUAGUAAGAUUGUUAUACCGAUUUUUUGAACCACAAUCUGGAGCUGUUUUUAUAAAUGGACAUAAUAUUCGAGAUAUUGAUUUAGAUAUCUUAAGAAAAUCAAUAGCAAUUGUUCCUCAGGACACUGUUCUCUUUCAUGAAAGUAUCUUUUACAACCUUCAUUAUGGUAAUUUAUCUAAAAGUAAGGAGGAUGUUUUUGAAGCUGCCAAAAUGGCAAAUUUACAUGAUUCCAUUCUUAAAUGGCCAAAAGGAUAUGAUACACCUGUUGGAGAACGUGGUUUAAAGUUAAGUGGUGGUGAAAAGCAACGAGUAGCAAUUGCUAGAGCAAUUUUAAAAAAUAGCCCAAUAUUAAUUUUUGAUGAAGCCACAUCAUCUCUAGAUUCUAUUACAGAACAUAAUAUUCUUGAAGCAUUACGUAGAGCAACCGUCGGCCGGACUUCCAUUGUUAUAGCCCAUCGAUUAUCUACUGUUAUGGAUUCAGAUGAAAUUUUUGUAUUAGAUAAUGGUAGUUUGAUUGAAAGAGGAACACAUGACUCUUUAUUAGCUGUGCCAAAUUCUUUAUAUUGCAAAUUGUGGGAAACACAACACAUAGGAAUGCUCAAAUCUAGUCAAGAAAAAGAUAAUAACUGUAGAACUCCAGGAGUUUGAAACAGAAAUUGUAUAAUGCACAGAAGACAAAAUUCUAACUUAGCAAGAUCAUCAGUGGAAACAAAAAUUAAUUCAUCUCACAAAAAUAUAGCAUAUCUCUCCUCUAAGAAAAAAAUCCUACAUCCUUUACUUGGAAUUAGCAACUGAAAACAAAUUAUUACGAGCAUUGCAGAAAAGACAAGAUUCUGCAUUAAAACGUUAUGAAGGAACAAAUGCUGAACUUCCGCGGAUUAUUAAUUCACAUCAUGAGGAAUUGAGAGUACUUCAGAUUAAAUAUAAAAAAUUAAAAACUUUACAAAAAGAAACAUGUAAUUUAUUAAAGGAAAAAGAAAAUGAGCUUCAACAGUUACAGUUAUAUAUUAUCUCUUAGUCGCAAAAUAAGCAUCUAUUACAACUUAGUAAGGAUCGUAAUUUGGGAGAGAGAGAAAAGUUACAAAUAGAAGUUUCUGAUUUAAAUCAUAGAAUACAACAACAACAAGAUACCAUAAA